AACCCAAUUAACAUUGAGUCUCACUGUAACUUAAGGCCAGCCUUGUUCUAAUGAUCUCUUCCAAAAAUACCAUUCAAGAACUGUAGAGAUUCAACAAACACAAAAAAUGGAAUAUCAAAAGAAAGUUUUUCAUUAUAUUUGAACACGAUUCAACAGGAAGAUGAUAUGAUGAAUGAACCCA